UUGGGUGAUGCAGGUCAGGUGAGCAGCAGGAGAGCCCAAUGGAGAACUAAAGGCGAGAGCUGGAAUCUCAGGGCUCCUGUCCCAUCCCUGUACCACCUGCCUUCCUAUGUGCCAUCUUAGCCUGGACUUGUGAGGGUGAAGGGCAAACCCAAGGUGCUCCAGGAAUAUAGACUAUAUGGCAUGUGAUGUUAUGGAACUUCUGUCCUGAACCUUAAGAAGCCUGGCAGCUUCCACUCCUUCUUGGAACACCUUUGCCAUGCUGGAAGGAGCCCAAGGGACGUGGAGGAGAACCGGACACUCAGUGUUCGGCCCCAACUCAGCUCCCAGACAACAGCCAGCAUCAACCAGCCACGAUGUUAUAAGGCUCAAUUGAGAUAGUAUAUGAUAAAACAUGCUGGAAACAAAAUAUGAAACACUAUAAAAAUAUAAGAUGUCAGAUAUGAUAUCAACAUGGGAGGCAUAAACAAGAAAGGAAAUGCCGAGCCAACUUGCAAAUCAGAUGAUGGGAUGAAUGAACACAUGACUGAUACCAUGGCCUCCCAAACCACCUUACAAAGUAGGCAUUAUCAUCCCCACUUUACCAGAGGACAGAACUGAGGCUCAAAGAGCUUUAUCUAACUCAAGACUACUCAUUCAUUGAUGAAGUUUGGAUAAAAACUCAGGCAAAAAUAAAGAGAAGAUAAUUACCUUGGGGCUGACCUGCCCUUUUUAAACACAGAAGGACAACCUGUCAGCCAUCUCGUGGUCCCCACCCAAACCACCCCUCUGGAAAUAAACACAUUACCCGUGCCAGAGUUGCUGCAAGACCAGAAUUACAGGACAAUCAACUAUAGGAAAUGCUAUUGCAAAUACAAUGGCGGGCAGAAUACACAUGAGAGCCUUGUCAAAUUCCUCUUACAAAACUUCCUC